UACGAAGGGGGCUAGCGUUGUUCGGAAUCACUGGGCGUAAAGGGCGCGUAGGCGGCUGUUCAAGUCGGGGGUGAAAUCCCGUGGCUCAACCACGGAAUGGCCUUCGAUACUGGACGGCUAGAGACCGGAAGAGGUGAGUGGAACUGCGAGUGUAGAGGUGAAAUUCGUAGAUAUUCGCAAGAACACCAGUGGCGAAGGCGGCUCACUGGUCCGGUUCUGACGCUGAGGCGCGAAAGCGUGGGGAGCAAACAGG
rnacentral:rRNA from 1 species